GGGCCAGCUAGGGGCCUCCAGCCCCACCCCGCCCAGGUGUCUACCCUGGAGGGGGGCCUGCAGGGCAGGGUGCCAGGACCCCUGGCCCCUGGCCUCUCCCCCGGCUGGGCCUCCUCUGGGGCAGAGGCACAGGACCAAGGGCGAGAGCCAGCGGGGCCCCGGGAGCCUGGCGCCCCGACCAGCAGCCUAGAGACCACCAGGUCACAGGCACAGUCCCCGUGCACGAGGGAGGUGACCCUCCAGGACAGUGGGGCGGGGGAAAACGUCCGGGAGCCAGGCCCGGCCCCGGAACGGGCAUGUCCCCGUGGGCCAAGAACAACCUCAGCUGAGCCAGGGCCGGGCCGCCUGCGUCACCAAGAGGAGCCUGAGGAACUGGGAGAAAGGCACGAGUUUCCUAGGGACGCAACAAACAUGAACAUCUCGUGCAGACGGAACCUUGCUUCAUCUGGAAAUUUACCGAGAGCUGUUGGACGUUUGGAAGAGUCACGACCCUAGGAUGACACGGUGGCCUCGGCGGGCACGCGUCUGACACCCGGGAAUCGUCAUCGAGGCCCUACUCUCUGGGCUGGGAGUAAGGCCAGGCCUCCGCAUCUGAGGAGCAUCGGGCCCAGCGGGAAGAGAAGCAGCAAGCGGAGGUGGCCCGGCGGGCGCAGAAGGGGCAUGUCAUCCGGGAUGGCUUCCUGAAGAAGGCGGCAGCAGGGCUGACUCGGACACCUGUGAGCAUAAAGGCGCGAGGGAGGAGCAGGUGCAGGAGACGCACGGCAGGCCAAGCGGGACCAACACCCCAGCAUGCGGGACUGGGGUCAGUGGCUUUCAAGGGUGUGACCACACGUUCUGGUUUGCUCGGACAUCCGGGCCGACACCUGUUACUCCGGGGUAUCCUCACAGAACCCCUUUCAUGGUUCAAGUGCAUCCCAGUUUGGACCAUAAGUUAAAUGGUUGCGGUGAAGGGUUGGCCCUCACCCCCGGGGCUGGGCCAGGACCCUUGAGGAUGGGGGAGGGCGAUUAGGUUUGCACUCUGGGGCAGUCCUGGCGUGGGUGGCAGAGAAGCUGUCGUCAGCCCUGGGGUGGGGGGGGCGGCGGGGAGUGUCAGGUGCCUGGGGUGCGUGGUGCACAGAGGGGCGCAGGCCAAGCUGAGGGCAGUCUGAGCCCUGGGAGCGGAGACAGGAGGGAGUGGCUUAGGACCCUAUGCGGCAACAAACACACUCUUCACUCGCUCUUUCUGGAAGCACCAAAUGUGCAGGUCGGCCCCUUAAUCCUGGGCGGGGGGGGGGGGGUCCCCGUCAUAGACCCUCCCCACCACCAUGGCCACAAUGUCACCAGUGCCAAACAUGAAGUGGGGUUUUUUGUUGUUUUUAAGUUCAGUCUCAAAGAACAUUUUAAAGUUUGAUAACUAACUGAACAAAGGUGAAUUGUGGGAGCCGAAAAGGUGUGAUACGAGGGCCCCGAGACCGGGAGAUGCUGGCCUAAGAGUUGUGAGUGUGGGCAUGUGUGUGGGCGUGUGUGUACACAGGCGUGUGUGUAGGGGGCAGGCACCCCCUCCACCCUGGGAAACCGGAAAAAGAGAUGAUGCUUUCACCAAGCCGGCUGCCCUGAUCCGUAAGAAGAGCAACCAGGCGGGCCCACCUCCCCAUGACUGUGCUUCCCCCACUCUCCGCCCCCUGGUGACCUCUGGAGAGGGAACAGGAAUGGGGGGUCCAGAAAUCCCAGGUUGGAAAAUGAGGUGGGAGGGAGGGGGCGACCAGGCUCACCCCCAUCGCAGGUAUGUGCUCACGCCCAGCAGCGGUCUCGGGUGCUGUCCCAGCUCCAACCUGCCCCUCCCUGGGUUGAUCGUGGCCUUUGGGACCGGCCAGGGGUGUGCAUGAGGGCUGGGCCGCAGCAGUUUCAUCGAUAACUUGUAAACAUUUAGCCAUGUGAAGGGGCGCCUGGGUGGCUCAGACUGAGCAUUCGACUCUUGGUUUCGGCCCAGGGUGUGAUCUCAUGGGUCCCGGGAUCCAGCCCCACUGUGGCCUUCAUGUUCAG